GACGAACGCUGGCGGCGUGCUUAACACAUGCAAGUCGAACGGAAAGGCCCUGCUUGCAGGGUGCUCGAGUGGCGAACGGGUGAGUAACACGUGGGUGAUCUGCCCCUUACUUUGGGAUAAGCCUGGGAAACUGGGUCUAAUACUGGAUAGGACCAUGCUGUAGGUGGUGUGGUGGAAAGAUUAGUUUCGGUAAGGGAUGAGCUCGCGGCCUAUCAGCUUGUUGGUGGGGUAAUGGCCUACCAAGGCGUCGACGGGUAGCCGGCCUGAGAGGGUGGACGGCCACAUUGGGACUGAGAUACGGCGCAGAAUCCUACGGGAGGCAGCAGUGGGGAAUAUUGCACAAUGGGCGCAAGCCGGAUGCAGCGACGCCGCGUGGGGGAUGACGGCCUUCGGGUUGUAAACUCCUUUCAGCCAUGACGAAGCCCUUGUGGUGACGGUAGUGGUAGAAGAAGCACCGGCUAACUACGUG
rnacentral:rRNA from 1 species